UACGUAGGGUGCAAGCGUUGUCCGGAAUUAUUGGGCGUAAAGAGCUCGUAGGCGGUCUGUCGCGUCUGCUGUGAAAACCCGCGGCUCAACUGCGGGCCUGCAGCCGAUACGGGCAGGCUAGAGUUCGGUAGGGGAGACUGGAAUUCCUGGUGUAGCGGUGAAAUGCGCAGAUAUCAGGAGGAACACCGGUGGCGAAGGCGGGUCUCUGGGCCGAUACUGACGCUGAGGAGCGAAAGCGUGGGGAGCGAACAGG
rnacentral:rRNA from 1 species